GUGGGGAAUUUUGGACAAUGGGCGCAAGCCUGAUCCAGCAAUGCCGCGUGCAGGAAGAAGGCCUUCGGGUUGUAAACUGCUUUUGUACGGAACGAAACGGUCCGGGUUAAUACCCUGGGCUAAUGACGGUACCGUAAGAAUAAGCACCGGCUAACUACGUGCCAGCAGCCGCGGUAAUACGUAGGGUGCGAGCGUUAAUCGGAAUUACUGGGCGUAAAGCGUGCGCAGGCGGUGCUGUAAGACAGGCGUGAAAUGCCCGGGCUCAACCUGGGAAUUGCGCUUGGGACUGCAGUGCUGGAGUACAGCAGAGGGGGAUGGAAUUCCGCGUGUAGCAGUGAAAUGCGUAGAUAUGCGGAGGAACACCGAUGGCGAAGGCAGUCCCCUGGGCCUGUACUGACGCUCAUGCACGAAAGCGUGGGGAGCAAACAGGAUUAGAUACCCGGGUAGUCC
rnacentral:rRNA from 1 species